UAGCGUAUAUUAAAGUUGUUGCGGUUAAAAAGCUCGUAGUUGGAUUUCUGUCGAGGACGACCGGUCCGCCUUCCGGGCGUGUAUCUGGCUCGGCCUUGACAUCCUCUCGAAAGACGUGCUGCGCUUGAUUGCGUGGUGCGGAGUUCGGGACUUUUACUUUGAGGAAAUUAGAGUGUUCACGGCAGGCAAACGCCUUGAAUAUAUUAGCAUGGAAUAAUAAUAUAGGAUCUUGGUUCUAUUUUGUUGGUUUCUAGAGCUGAGGUAAUGAUUAAUAGGGAUAGUUGGGGGCAUUCGUAUUUAACUGUC
rnacentral:rRNA from 1 species